rnacentral:rRNA from 1 species
GACGAACGCUGGCGGCGUGCCUAAUACAUGCAAGUAGAACGCACAGUUUAUACCGUAGCUUGCUACACCAUAAACUGUGAGUUGCGAACGGGUGAGUAACGCGUAGGUAACCUGCCUGGUAGCGGGGGAUAACUAUUGGAAACGAUAGCUAAUACCGCAUAAUAUUAAUUAUUGCAUGAUAAUUGAUUGAAAGAUGCAAUUGCAUCACUACCAGAUGGACCUGCGUUGUAUUAGCUAGUAGGUGAGGUAACGGCUCACCUAGGCGACGAUACAUAGCCGACCUGAGAAGGUGAUCGGCCACACUGGGACUGAGACACGGCCCAGACUCCUACGGGAGGCAGCAGUAGGGAAUCUUCGGCAAUGGACGAAAGUCUGACCGAGCAACGCCGCGUGAGUGAAGAAGGUUUUCGGAUCGGAAAGCUCUGUUGUAAGAGAAGAAAGGGUGUGAGAGUGGAAAGUUCACACUGUGACGGUAUCUUACCAGAAAGGGACGGCUAACUACGUG